AGUUCCUUGGUUGGAGGAAAGAUGUCGGGAGGACAGUGGCGCUGAUUGGCAUAAGAUUGCUCACAUCCCCAAGAUUCGGUUGUAUAAUGAGUAGUAAGGCAUUGGAGAAAGGCAUUUGUGAACUUCAAUCAUUUUAUAUGCAUAAAAAGAGGACACUCUUUUAGCUGUUUGGAAUUUCAGCCAAAUUUAUUAUUGAAGGUCCAAACAGGGAAAAAGGAAGAUACUUCAGAAUAUUUGGUGGUUCAUUGUUGCUUUUGGAAGAGUCGUUCAAGUGAAAAUUUAUUAUUCCACUUUACAUGGAGCUUAUGAAGAGCUUGAUUUAUUUUAUGGGUGAUGUGUGAAUUUAAAGAAGCACACAUGUUCAUAGGAACUAUUAUUGAGUGUUGAAUGUUGAUUUUCACUUGCAUAGAAUUUACUUGAUUGUACAAAAGUGAGAUUGCAUCAAGUGUUUGAGGUGUUAAGCUUAAACUAUUUAUUUGUACCAUGAAAUUCAUAGUGUAAUUCAUCUUUGGGCAAAGCCCCGCAGAGGUAGGAUAAAUUCCGAAUUACGUAAACAUCUUGAUUGUGCUCUUUAUUUUCCUUGUUACAUAGUACGUGCCAACUUAAGAAAUAACACAUUUAUCUUUAAAAUAUCCAAGCCCAAUCACUUCAAGAAAUUGACUCAAAUGUGAGUGCUUUAUGAAACUUUUUGCAAUCCAAAACUGAAGUACGUUAUCUUUAGAAAAAGAUAAAUGUACCGAUUAUAAAAAAUCUGCUUUCCUAUUUCCAAAAAGGUUGUAUUUGUUGAAUCUGCAAAUCUUUGCUCAAAUGCUAUCUCUUUGAACAAAAACCAAGCAUAAUC